CGUCAAAGAUGUGUUAGGUACCAAUCCUGGUAAAAAGAUCAAAAUAAGAAGAGAAAAUAAAAAACAAAGGCUACCCACGGGCUAAAACGCGGGUCAUUCCUCGGGUCAAGAAAAUCUGGUCACUCACUCUCCUCGAAUAGCAUCGUUUCCUUUUGAAUAUAGACGUUCCUUUCGAGUUUUUUUAAUUUUCAAAUUCUAUUCUUUCUGUACUUCUCUCUGUCUUUGUAAACUCUCUCCAAUCCUCUGCUGGCAGCCACCGAUUUUUCAGAAUCCGAUGAGACAUAGCCAUCGCCUCCACCGAUGCCGUCGUUGGCCGCCACUUGCCUACGUCGCUUCAUCCCCAAUUUCAACGUCGGGUUCCUCUCAGCACCCUUUUCAACUUUUUCAACUUAGUUUUCUAAAAAACCUUAGAGACUCAGUAGAUCUAAGCUCAGAUUUUUUAAAAACCCCUCUCUGAUCCGUCGUUUUUUCGCCGUUUUACACCAAUCAAAUCCUAAGUCAGUCUCCUCAGAACCUUUUCUUUUUCCUCUAACUUUCAGCUAGGUUGAAAUCUACCAAAGAUAGCUUUAAAACCCACGGGCAAAUUAAAGAAAAAAUAAAAAAGCUACCUCAUGAGGCGUCGCUUAAACAAAUCCGAGAGAGCUCUUUCCCCUAGUCUUCUUUCUACCUGACGGACCGAGACCCAAAAGUUUUUCUACACGAUCGCAAUCGCAAUCCGUGGUACUGACUGAUUGGAUAAUGGUUUAGACUGAAUCGGUAGUGGUUCUACACUGGUCGAUGAUCGUAAUGGGGUAUUGAGGUGUGGUGGUUGAAGUAUGGUGAGGAGGGUGGUUUCACACUACUGUGUUGCCGGCUACCUACUUUAAAUGCUUUUCUCCAAGGCCCAAGAACUCCCUAAAGUUGAACCCUCGGUCCCCUGUUUUACUUCUUUUUUAAUAGCUCCUUUUGCUCGAUCGUUCUUGUGGAUUAUGUAAGGAAUGAAUUCCAAUCCAAAUAUAACUCUAGCUCAAAACGUAUUAAGUUCUUGUCGCGUUAGAGUUCUUUAUCUUCAAAUCAUCUCAAUCCAAACUUGUUUCGAGUUUCUCCA